CCUACGGGAGGCAGCAGUGGGGAAUAUUGGGCAAUGGAGGCAACUCUGACCCAGCAACGCCGCGUGAAUGAUGAAGGUCUUCGGAUUGUAAAGUUCUUUUCUAAGGGAAGAAGAUAGUGACGGUACCUUAGGAAUAAGCCUCGGCUAACUACGUGCCAGCAGCCGCGGUAAUACGUAGGAGGCAAUCGUUAUCCGGAAUGACUGGGCGUAAAGGGUGCGUAGGUGGAUUGACAAGUUAGUAGCGAAACUCCGGAGCUCAACUUCGCUACGCCGUUGAAACUGGCGUUCUUGAGUGGGCGAGAAGUAUGCGGAAUGCGUGGUGUAGCGGUGAAAUGCAUAGAUAUCACGCAGAACUCCGAUUGCGAAGGCAGCAUACCGGCGCCCAACUGACGCUGAAGCACGAAAGCGUGGGUAUCGAACAGGAUUAGAUACCCCUGUAGUC
rnacentral:rRNA from 1 species